AGUUAAUUUCUUCACUCUUCUAUCGCAAUGAAACCUACCACGAAGAGCCAGAAAUCUUCCAUGUCUCUUUUAUCUGGAAUGGAAGCUAAGAGAAAUCUUCUAUAUCUUCAUAUAUUCAUCGAUUUUUUUUAUCUUAAAUCGUUAUUCUCAUUCAGUUUACAUAAAUCUAGAUUCUCGGUGUUAAUGAAGUUCGCUGAAAUGAAAAUCCCAGGAGCAAGUUUAGUUGUCACUAACUGAUGGAGAUAAACGAAGAAGAUAUGAUUGAAUCUCUUAAUAACUAAGGCUUCAGAAAGUUUAUAAGUGUUACCGGACAUGGAGAAAUCGUGCAGAUUGUGCAGUUGUAGUGCAGGAGCUUUGGUGGGAUAUUGGACUUUUCCAAGUGGUAUCAUUUUUCAACAUUGAGAAACCAGAAAUAAUUGUUUCAUGAUGGAAACGGGUAUGGACAAAGGGUACUGCAGGUCGACGAAGUAGCUUGUUGGUUGAUUAAGAAGGUACUCAUUUUUGUUAAGGUCAUAGGAUGAUGCGGUUGAUCUUGUUGUACGAUGGACGUGGAUUGUAGCGCAAGAUCUGCUUGCUAGCAUCUCUCCUACAACACCACUCCUUGAAGCUUCUACUAGUCAAAAUAACGUUGCAUUGGAGUGUGGGAUUCUCAAUUGAUAAGAAAGUUUGUUAAUGGCAUAGAUGGAGACAGUGGCUUCACCGCUGUUUGUGGAGGAUAACAUGUCCCAGUAUGACGAUAUGGACUACAUGGGGGGUGAUUAUGAAAUGGAUGAUGUAGAAGAUGACAUGGAUGAAGAAUUCCAUGGUAGAGGUUUGGGUGAUUCCGAGUCUAAUGAGGAUGAUGGUGACCAAUUGGAAAUUGAUGCUAUUGAUGAUGCGGAUAUUUCUCCAAGAUAUGUGAAUAACACAGGUCUUUCUGCAAGAGUUGGAAGGCUUAGUUUGGACUGGGUCGAUCCUGAUCAAUCAUCUGAAUGAGGCUUUCAUCAUGCAAUGACUCUUGCUGGUGGUGAAUUUUUAGAGGGACUAGUUGAUUACUUUAUUUGUUCUGAAGAGGGAAGAAAUGUUAUAACUGGUUCAGUGGGCUAAGAUGUAAGAACUCAUUUGGAACAAAUGCAAAUGCACAGACUUUUCCCAUGAUUAGACCGAGUAACUCAUGUGAAGAUGGCAGGAGAGUUAGAGUUGCAGUUGUUUCUUGGGAUGAGCAUGCUAAAUUAUCAGGUGCAUUUGAGACACUGGCAGCAGAUAUGCUUCCUACAACUGAUGAUUUCUAUAUGCACAAGGAUGAGCCUGAUUGGGAUACACCAACGGGUGAAGUUGCUUUCUUAGGUGAUGCAAUUAAAGAUAUUCGUCAAGGAAAGAAAGUUGCACCCAUAACUCGGAACUGGAUGGUCAUUGUUGUUGAUGACGACGAUAGAGAAAAUGAAGGGGAUCUAAUAAUGGCAGAAAAGUUGGCAAACUAGUCAUUGUUGUGGUUGAUUCCAGUUGUAUGUGGUGUACAAACUGUUCUCGGGAAGAGCUUUCGGAAUAUAUAAAGUUUGCGAAUUAUGGACAAACAGUUCAAAAGAUAAAUUGUUUUUAAUUAUAUUUAUAUUAUUUAAAAUUGUUGACAUCAUCAUGAGUCACUUUGUACUAAACUAUAAAUAUUUGGACUAAAUUUUAAACUUAGAGGGUUAUAAAUGUAUUUACAAUAUUUUAAAU